UGUGGGUUCAAGCCACUGUGUGGGAGG
rnacentral:piRNA from 1 species